rnacentral:tRNA from 2 species
AGAAAGUUAGUCUAAUCAAGAUA